AGCGAACGUUAGCGGCGCGCCUAACACAUGCAAGUCGCACGAGAAAGGGGGCAACCCCCGGUACAGUGGCGCACGGGUGAGUAACACGUGGAUUACCUGCCCUGGAGUGGUGGAUAACCUGCCGAAAGGUGGGCUAAUACAGCAUGAGACCACGAGGUUUCGACCUCGCGGUCAAAGCAGGCCUCUAUUCAUAAGCUUGCGCUCCGGGAUGGGUCCGCGGCCCAUCAGCAGUUGGUAGGUAACGGCCUACCAAGGCGACGACGGGUAGCUGGUCUGAGAGGAUGAUCAGCCACACUGGAACUGAGACACGGUCCAGACUCCUACGGGAGGCAGCAGUGGGAAUCUUGCGCAAUGGGCGAAAGCCUGACGCAGCGACG
rnacentral:rRNA from 1 species